rnacentral:snRNA from 1 species
GGAUGUGAGGGUGAUCUGGCUGUGACAUUUGUCACCUCAUUGAUCGCUAGGGUUCAUUUGGCUGAUCUGGCUGGCUAGGCAAGUGUCCCCUUCCUCCCUCACUGCUCCCUCCUGAAGGGUGUCCCUUCCGAAGCUGUGCACUGGGUCCAAGAGAACGACCUUCCAGGAUAGAGGAGAACCAUUCUUCUGUCAAGGAUAUAGGAGUAACUGUGCUUCCUUGCUAGAACUUUUUUUUUUUUUUUUAAAGAUUUUAUUUAUUUAUUUGACAGAGAGAGAGACAGCCAGUGAGAGAAGGAACACAAGCA